rnacentral:rRNA from 1 species
GACGAACCGAGCGAACGUUAUUCGGAAUCACUGGGCUUAAAGGGUGCGUAGGCGGGCCCGUCAGUCAGGGGUGAAAUCCCACGGCCCAACCGUGGAAGUGCCUCUGAUACUGCGGGCCGGAGGGGGAUAGGGGCGUGCGGGAACUUCCGGUGGAGCGGUGAAAUGCGUAGAUAUCGGAAGGAACACCGGUGGCGAAAGCGGCGCGCUGGAUCCCUACUGACGCUGAGGCACGAAAGCCAGGGGAGCAAACGGG